GAGAGAUUAGCUAUCCUUUAGUCAUCGGCUUGGUGCUUUGGGAGUUUCGUCUUUUUGGAUUUCCUGCUGGAGGGCAUGACGUCUUUACGGAUAAAAUUCUAUUUUUUGCUGGCUUUUUCCUGCGUACCUUUGUUGUGGUCGUAUUCGCUGGCGGGGGUUAUUCCAUGCCUGAAACCAGGCGAUAAAGCCCCGGGCUUUAGUGUUCAAACGACUGAGGGUUUGCUCUCGUACAAUUCGGACCGAGCAAGCGAUAUCAAGGGGCCGCUGGUGAUCGUAGCGUUCACAAAUGAAUCGAGUUUUUUGGAAAACCUUUUCGCGGAUCCAAAGAGGAUGGUUGUUGAUCUCUUUGAUCAUUCCCCAGAUAAUGCUCACUAUAUUUUCUUGUUCUACGACAACGCUGCCUUAGAGCAAAACGAAGAUGCAAGUCUACGGCUGCAAAAGCUGUUCAUCUACGAGAUGUACCAGUACCACAAUAAAAAAUGAAAAACAACGUAUUGACGAGGUUGGAGGAAAUAUCUGCGUGAUAGGAGUUGAAUCGAAGCCAAAAUAGUUUGAACAUCAACACCUUGUAUCUUUUGGAAAAGAUUACUUGAUCUGUUUACUAGUCUUUAAUUUGGUCCGUGUUGUAAUUGAGUUUCCGUGAACGCAAAAAAACAUGGGUAAAUUCAUCGAA